rnacentral:rRNA from 1 species
UGGGGAAUAUUGCACAAUGGGGGAAACCCUGAUGCAGCCAUGCCGCGUGUGUGAAGAAGGCCUUCGGGUUGUAAAGCACUUUCAGCGAGGAGGAAAGGGGUGAUGCUAAUACCAUUAUCCUGUGACGUUACUCGCAGAAGAAGCACCGGCUAACUCCGUGCCAGCAGCCGCGGUAAUACGGAGGGUGCAAGCGUUAAUCGGAAUAACUGGGCGUAAAGCGCACGCAGGCGGUCGGAUAAGUCAGAUGUGAAAGCCCCGGGCUCAACCGGGGAACUGCAUUUGAAACUGUUCGACUAGAGUCUUGUAGAGGGGGGUAGAAUUCCAGGUGUAGCGGUGAAAUGCGUAGAGAUCUGGAGGAAUACCGGUGGCGAAGGCGGUCCCCUGGACAAAGACUGACGCUCAGGUGCGAAAGCGUGGGGAGCAAACA